UACGUAGGGGGCAAGCGUUGUCCGGAAUCACUGGGCGUAAAGCGCACGUAGGCGGAUUGUUAAGUCAGGGGUGAAAUCCUGGAGCUCAACUCCAGAACUGCCUUUGAUACUGGCGAUCUCGAGUCCGGGAGAGGUGAGUGGAACUGCGAGUGUAGAGGUGAAAUUCGUAGAUAUUCGCAAGAACACCAGUGGCGAAGGCGGCUCACUGGCCCGGUACUGACGCUGAGGUGCGAAAGCGUGGGGAGCAAACAGG
rnacentral:rRNA from 1 species